UUAAACUCCUCGGCACUAGGAUAGCACCCCUCACAUCUCUGACGCGUCUUCUGCCAGAACUCGUGGAAAGCUUCUAUCGCAUUGGACUGAUACAUGUUUGAUAGCUUUAACAAUUGUGCUUUUCGCAGAUAUCAUUUCAAUAUUAUCACUAUUGUUCUUGGACUUAAUUGAUAGACAUUGGACUUACGUUGUUUUAAUACGAAAUAUAAAGCUAUUGUUAGAACUGUAACCGCAAUGUUUGACUUAAAAAAUCUUGGAAACCAUUAGUACUCUUCCAGCCUGUAGGACUUCGACAGUGUGAUCAAUACAUUUCUUUGUUUGGAUCAAUUUCAAUAAGCGAUUGAUUCCAUGUGAUUUACGUUUUGUGAUUUCGAAAUCAUGGCGACUGGAGUUAUAAUAAACUAUGUGUAAAUAAAUACAUCUAAAAAUUCUGUCGAGUCCUGAAAAUAGUACAAGGGGAGACAACAUUACAUAAACGUGGAGAAGGUGUUUUACAAGACCACCAGAGAGCUACAUCCACGCGAGGAGAUGCUCUUGUAUGCCAGGGAGGCUAGCUUUCCCGACCUCGAACUGGAAACACUUGCAAGGCAGAGCUUGUCAGGUAAGAACAUAUGAAUUUAAAUUACUAUAUUAACAGUUCGCCGAAAGGUUGUUUUUGCCGGAAGCGGUAGUUUUACCUCUAAAAUGCUUUCAACUGCCUGUAGUUCACAUUACAACUGGUCCAUCUACUAACCAUUAUGUGCAACCCUAGCAAUCGCCCCGCACACCUACAUACAACUUAUUUAUAUAGUGAUUAGGUAGAGGGAUAAACCAUGACAAUGGUAUAACAAUGUACCGUUUCCCUCGAUUAGCCGCAUAAAGAAGCAGCGGCUUAUCUUCCCAGUAUUAUGAAUAGCGUACCUUUGAUUACAGGACUGCGAUUAUGAUAUUGAAUUCUUAAGCUCGACAGAGAGAUGAUCUAUGUGCUAGGUACAGGUUGUCAUGCAAGGGCCCAGACUGUGAAAUACCCACCGUUCGCGGUGUCAUCGUGACCCUCUCCCCCCCCCUCCAACCUGUAAUCCGAUCUUGUUUGCAACAAUCAUGCAAUCACCAGAUUGCAGCGUCCAGGCGUCGUCACGUAAUCAUUGGCUGGAAAACAACCGUGAAGUUAGCUCCCCUUUCAAAUUGGGACACUUGCGA
rnacentral:sRNA from 1 species